rnacentral:rRNA from 1 species
UGGGGAAUAUUGCACAAUGGGCGCAAGCCUGAUGCAGCCAUGCCGCGUGUGUGAAGAAGGCCUUCGGGUUGUAAAGCACUUUCAGCGAGGAGGAAGGUGGUGAACUUAAUACGUUCAUCAAUUGACGUUACUCGCAGAAGAAGCACCGGCUAACUCCGUGCCAGCAGCCGCGGUAAUACGGAGGGUGCAAGCGUUAAUCGGAAUUACUGGGCGUAAAGCGCACGCAGGCGGUUUGUUAAGUCAGAUGUGAAAUCCCCGGGCUCAACCUGGGAACUGCAUUUGAAACUGGCAAGCUAGAGUCUCGUAGAGGGGGGUAGAAUUCCAGGUGUAGCGGUGAAAUGCGUAGAGAUCUGGAGGAAUACCGGUGGCGAAGGCGGCCCCCUGGACGAAGACUGACGCUCAGGUGCGAAAGCGUGGGGAGCAAACAGGAUUAGAUACCCCUGGUAGUCCACGCUGUAAAACGAUGUCGAUUUUGGAGGUUGUGCCCUUGAGGCGUGGCUUCCGGAGCUAACGCGUUAAAUCGACCGCCUGGGGAGUACGGCCGCAAGGUUAAAACUCAAAGGAAUUG